UGAACGCUGGCGGCGUGCCUACUACAUGCAAGUCGAGCGAACAGACGAGGAGCUUGCUCCUCUGACGUUAGCGGCGGACGGGUGAGUAACACGUGGAUAACCUACCUAUAAGACUGGGAUAACUUCGGGAAACCGGAGCUAAUACCGGAUAAUAUAUUGAACCGCAUGGUUCAAUAGUGAAAGACGGUUUUGCUGUCACUUAUAGAUGGAUCCGCGCCGCAUUAGCUAGUUGGUAAGGUAACGGCUUACCAAGGCAGCGAUGCGUAGCCGACCUGAGAGGGUGAUCGGCCACACUGGAACUGAGACACGGUCCAGACUCCUACGGGAGGCAGCAGUAGGGAAUCUUCCGCAAUGGGCGAAAGCCUGACGGAGCAACGCCGCGUGAGUGAUGAAGGUCUUCGGAUCGUAAAACUCUGUUAUUAGGGAAGAACAAAUGUGUAAGUAACUAUGCACGUCUUGACGGUACCUAAUCAGAAAGCCACGGCUAACUACGUG
rnacentral:rRNA from 1 species